rnacentral:rRNA from 1 species
GAUGAACGCUGGCGGCGUGCCUAAUACAUGCAAGUCGAGCGAACAGAUGAGGAGCUUGCUCCUCUGACGUUAGCGGCGGACGGGUGAGUAACACGUGGAUAACCUACCUAUAAGACUGGGAUAACUUCGGGAAACCGGAGCUAAUACCGGAUAAUAUAUUGAACCGCAUGGUUCAAUAGUGAAAGACGGUUUUGCUGUCACUUAUAGAUGGAUCCGCGCCGCAUUAGCUAGUUGGUAAGGUAACGGCUUACCAAGGCGACGAUGCGUAGCCGACCUGAGAGGGUGAUCGGCCACACUGGAACUGAGACACGGUCCAGUCUCCUACGGGAGGCAGCAGUAGGGAAUCUUCCGCAAUGGGCGAAAGCCUGACGGAGCAACGCCGCGUGAGUGAUGAAGGUCUUCGGAUCGUAAAACUCUGUUAUUAGGGAAGAACAAAUGUGUAAGUAACUAUGCACGUCUUGACGGUACCUAAUCAGAAAGCCACGGCUAACUACGUG